rnacentral:tmRNA from 1 species
GGGGGCGUUUAUGGAUUCGACGGGGAUAGUUCGAGCAUGGGUUGCGGGUAGUGGGGACGCGUCCACUUCAUCAACGCUAAAGCCAAUUAAAUGGCAAACAACAACAACAACUCGCUUUCGCAGCUUAAUAACCUGUGACGCGGCUUCUACCUUGCAUCGCCCAUGUGCCAGGCUAGGGGCUAACCUUUAGUGGGAUACGCCGAUCGGUCUCCGCCUGGGGUCGACGGAAGAAGAUAAUCAGGCUGACCCAAAACGUAGUCGGUUACGGGACGACGUUCGGGUGACAUCAAUACCGUGACUACACCCGUAGAAGCCUGUGUGGCGUUGUCUUCGGACAGGGGUUCAAAUCCCCUCGCCUCCACCA